AGUGAACGCUGGCGGUAGGCCUAACACAUGCAAGUCGAACGGCAGCACAGUAAGAGCUUGCUCUUACGGGUGACGAGUGGCGGACGGGUGAGGAAUACAUCGGAAUCUACUUUUUCGUGGGGGAUAACGUAGGGAAACUUACGCUAAUACCGCAUACGACCUACGGGUGAAAGCAGGGGAUCUUCGGACCUUGCGCGAUUGAAUGAGCCGAUGUCGGAUUAGCUAGUUGGCGGGGUAAAGGCCCACCAAGGCGACGAUCCGUAGCUGGUCUGAGAGGAUGGUCAGCCACACUGGAACUGAGACACGGUCCAGACUCCUACGGGAGGCAGCAGUGGGGAAUAUUGGACAAUGGGCGCAAGCCUGAUCCAGCCAUACCGCGUGGGUGAAGAAGGCCUUCGGGUUUUAAAGCCCUUUUGUUGGGAAAGAAAAGCAGCAGGUUAAUACCCCGCUGUUCUGACGGUACCCAAAGAAUAAGCACCGGCUAACUUCGUG
rnacentral:rRNA from 1 species